rnacentral:lncRNA from 1 species
GUCUCCUCUUUCUGGCAGGGAAUAUGAGAUCGUCGCUGAUUGGCUGCACCUUGCUCAAGCCGAUAUCUUCGCUCGAUCGAUAUCCGGGCGCGGGACGGUCACACUCACAGGUCGGCAUGUUGGUGAACCUUUCUUGUUUAGCUUAGAUUUCACGUUAUUCAUGUCAACGAGAGCUGCAAACAACUUCUCUAAUUGGUAGAAUGUGGACGGACAUUGCAUUCAUUCCCAUUCAGCCGUUGGACUGAACUGGUACUGUAACACAGUAUGGAUGGUCAAUAUGAAGCAAGCUUCAUCGAAUUCCUCCAAGAGCUCUGAACUCUGUUCUGAUCAUUUUGAAGAUGCUGCUUUGACAGGACUGGGCAAACGAUUCGUCUAAGACAGGAUGCUGUCCCAACCACAUUUAAUUUGCCGCCUCGUCAUCAGAAGAAUGCACACAAACCAGGGAAACCCUCGAAAGAAAGUCAUUUAGAUUCAGCAAGCAACCUCCCAGAUACUGCAAAGACACCUGUACCAAAGUCUUCAGCACCUUCCCUGGGACUACUACUCAAUGCCAAAAAUCUAAGAGGGGUAAAGUGGAAGAUAACAGCAACAUAUAUCUAAAUGGGAUGGAGACCAGCAGCAUGGCAGCAGGAGCUAAUGUUGGUCGUGAUGAGGCAUAUACCACCAUCAACAAUGCUGCAAUUGCAGUCACCACCACCAAGUCUGCUUCUGUCACUGCCAUCACCAUUGCCACCGCCAUUACCAAGACCACUCCUGACACAAAGCCCCCAAGUCCUCAACUGACCAGAUAUUGCAGCUGGAGAAGGAUAUACCAGGAACUUCAAAGCCAGGGCUUGCCAGUCUCCUACAAUAAGAAAAAUGCCAUGGGCCCAUCUAAUGAACUAGUAGUAGAAUAUUUGGCCACAGUUGUAGAAAUGCAGAGACUAACAUACUGCCACAGGUGAGGUUUUGUCCACAGUUCCAGAAGGACACAAAAUAGUAUCAGAAAGUCAUGCCAGAAUCAACAACUGAAGGGUUUGAAGAGCCAGAUAAAGAGCCGAGAAAUGUGAUUUUAAAGGUACUUCAAUCACAUGCACAGUAGGAGCAAAAACAGCAGCAAACACACAGGAGAUGUAACACUACAUUGACCAACAGCAACAACUACAGCAGCAUCAACAAUUUCUGCAGGAGAUGCAAAAACCACACUGGCAACCUCAACAACAUCAAGGUGUCCAACAAGCACUCCGGGAACGUUAACAGCAACCACAGCUUCAGCUGGAGUUUCAACAAA